rnacentral:tRNA from 1 species
GGUAGUAUAGGUCAGUGGUAGAGCACAUGCUUAGCAUGCAUGAGGUCCUGGGUUCAAUCCCCAGUUCCUCCA